GAUGAAGAACGUAGCGAAAUGCGAUACUUGGUGUGAAUUGCAGAAUCCCGUGAACCAUCGAGUCUUUGAACGCAAGUUGCGCCCGAAGCCAUUGGGCCGAGGGCACGCCUGCCUGGGUGUCACACGUCGUUGCCCCCCCAUCUACUCCUUCGGGAUUGCGGGGGGCGGAUGAUGGCCUCCCGUGCGCCUCGUCGCGCGGUUGGCAUAAAUGCCAAGUCCUCAGCGACGCACGCCACGACAAUCGGUGGUUGCGAAACCUCGGUUGCCCGUCGGGUGCGGUCGUCGCGCAUCGAGGGCUCGAAAAAAUUGCCGGGCUCCGGCUCGGCUUUCAACGCGACCCCAGGUCAGGCGGGGUUACCCGCUGAAUUUAAGCAUAUCAAUAAGCGGAGGA
rnacentral:misc_RNA from 1 species